GAAAGAUGAUCUUUUUUUCUCUUUUGUUUUUUCAAUUCUUCUCCUCACUCUUGUUCUUCCCCAAUUCCCAUUUUUUUCAUUUUCCAUUUCAUCUCUUUCCAUCUCAUAAGUUUCUUCUUCCUUUUGAUUUCGCACAAAAAUACAUAACCAAACCUUGAGUUUCAAUUCCGCAGAAGGCUCAACCACGGAAGAAAUAAACUGGUUGGAAAAGCUGGUGGUGCUAGGUGAAAGUCCAUGUUCGAUGCUGUGAGCAAAGCAAAUUCUCUUUUAUUAUUCUUCUUUCUUCGGAUAACAAUUAUUUCCAAUUUUUGGUUGUUGUUUUAGGAUUUAUUCUCUAAUUCAUUAUAUUAUCAUUCUUCGGGAAAAAAGCUUCAUAUCAAGCAAAUGCUAGAGAAUAGACUAGCAUAUGAGGAGGAUAUACGGGCCUACAACAAAGGAUUGAUAAUUGCGUUGACUCAAUAUUUUGAUUCUCUCUUAUAUUGUGAUUCAUACUAAUCUUAUGGUUGAGCUCUUAAUGUUUUAGAAUGAGAGUGGAGAUUCUAAUAAGUCAAAAUCUGUGGUGAAUGACGAUUAUGAUGAUGAAGAGAGGAUGAGUGAAGUAGCAGCUAUGGUGAAGGAAGAGGCCUUCGAGUGGGAGGAAAUAAUUUCAUUCAUCAUCAAUCUUCAUAUAGUUUUGGGAGUUGAUUGACAAUAUAGUUUGAUCAUCUUAAUUUUCUGCUUACUUUUAUGUGUGAAGAUCAUAAAAUUUGAAGUUUAGUAGGGUUCUGUAAUUACCAUUUAUGUUUGAACAAGUUCUUUAGUAAUUUUUUCAUUCAAAAAUUUAGAAUCCUCAACUCUAUUACUUUUUAUUUCUCCGCAACUUUAUUUAUUUUUAACCUUGAAAGAGAUUUAGUUUAUAACUUUGUCAAAGAAUGUUUAUAAUUCUUAUGGAUAAGGUUUAAUUGUUAUACUUAGGAGUACUAAAUCUUCUUAGGAUACUAUUGAAAGAAAUUUUUGGCAAUCUAAGUUUACUAACUAAUUCUUUUUUAUUUAGUCCUCUUCUUGAUAGAAUUUUUCACUUAUAUGUUUAUUCUGUUUUUGGAUUUGAAGAGUCAAAGAAAGACUUUGUACCAUUGCCUCGCGAUUAUUUUAUUUUUGGGAUAUGUGAUUUACUGUCAAAACUUAUAUUUCAUUGUUAAAAUGAAAAGAAUAAGUUGAUUAGUAUUGGAGGUUAAGAGAAACGAAUUUUAAAAUUCAAAAGAAUGAUUUUAGAAUUAAUGUAAAAGAGAAAAAAAAAUAUUUUAUUGUUUCUCGAGCAUAAAAAAGAUAUAGUCAUAAUGUUAAUAAUAAAUGUGAUAAAACUAUGUAUAUGUAAUUGAUAAUUUUUAACUCUUUAUCCAGAGAAUCAAAUAAAAUAUCAUAAUAGAAUAAUAAAUAUUUGAUGAGAUGAAUUAUUUAUUGGCUAAUUAUAUAAUACAUAUUUAUGUAUAGAGAUGCAAGAAUUUGUUGAUAAGUGUGCAAUGUAUUAGAGGCAGGGAAAGUUGGGCAAAGCUUUGAAACCUUGUCUGUCUUGGUAGUUGAAGGAGGAGCUGGCUAAUGAAAUAAGCUAAUAAAGAGCCAAUGGUAGUUGAAGGAGGAGCUCGCUAAUGGAAUAAGCUAAUAAAGAGCCAAUGUUACAAAUCCUCAAAUUUAGAGAGGUCCACAUCAUAGCAAACAAAAAGAAGAAGAUCAAGGAGAAAACAACAACAACAUCCAAUUGCUAUUGAGAAACGAAGAGAUCUACAUCCAACAGCACCGCCACCAACCGAGGGUUCGAGAUAUGGCCUGAUCAUCAUCAACCAAGCUACUACUCCUUCGGUUUGGGUCCAUCUAGUGAGAGAAACACCACCACAAACCCAAGCGACGACGUUUCGGUGUCUUUCUCUGAUGAGUCGAAUCGGAUCGGGUUCACCGUGAUCUGGUCUUCUUCGUCUGGAUCGAGUCUAGGAAGCGGCACAAAUUGCAGAGACUGCGUUAACCAAGCCAAGAAAGACUGCCUCCACCUUCGCUGCCGAACCUGCUGCCGAAGCCGAGGGUUUCAAUAUUCUACUCCAAUUCAACACAAUCAGAAGUAGAAUCGUCGACCCCCAUGGUUUUUGCUCUAUUGAGUUUUAUGCGUGUAUAAUUUCAUUCACUAAUGAUUAUGUUUGUUGUUGUUGUUACUAUGCAGAAUGCGAUUAGUUUCUUUUCCUUAGAUUUAUCAUUAAUUAAAUAAUUGAAAAAAGA